AGAUGGACUGGAUGGAAUUAGGCGCCCGCCGUCAGUCCCAUGGGACUCCGGGUAUGGGAUUUUGUUUCGCAGUGUCUGGUUGCGGCAUAAGCCCGGUCCGUGGGCGCCAAUGUCCUUGACGUUAUGGGUGACGAAGUCAGGACGCAGAAGAUGGAUGUCGAGUCUUCUUAGGUGCGGGUGGCUGAGGCUAGAAGCCGGCCAUGUAAAUAAAUGUCUUUCUCUGUUUCCUGGAUAACAGUACACCUCUGUAACCAGGUGCAGACGUUAGUGAGGUACCCUGGGCAGAGACCACGCUUGUCUCGCUGAAUCUCCAGCUUUCCCCCCAGUGUAAUAAACUUUAAGUAACUGAAGAGUUUGUGAGCACCUUUCCGCCCGGUUUAGAACCGAGGAUCUUUCGCGUGUGAGGCAAACAAGAUAACCACUAUACUACGGAAACUACAGAGGCGAAGUCCUCUGAGGUCUUCCUGACUGUUCGUAAUGCCUCCCACAGCUUGGGUGAACACACAGGUCUAGGUUUACCGGGUGGUUGUGUAAGGCUGGCCCGACGACCCAAGCUUUGCAACCAGACAACAUUCGCUUGCCGGCCACGCCACGGCGUACGCAGACGUCCCCGCUUGCGCACAGCAUUCCCAUGCAUUAGGCAAAUACCGUCCUUGGGAGUAUGCUUUGCGCUUAUCUCACACCGCCAAGCCUGUGUUCUGGCGUGGCCACUCACUCUCCCAUCUACUCUUCUACCCUAGCAGUGGCGUCCCCAGGCUUGCCCAGGAGCAAAACUGUCAAAGUAACAAGAAACUCGGUCAGAAUAUAAUGGGAAGUUAAAAAGCGGGCUCGUCCGGGAUUUGAACCCGGGACCUCUCGCACCCAAAGCGAGAAUCAUACCCCUAGACCAACGAGCCAGACGCUAAACGAUGUGCUCAUGUAUCAGUUUCUGCGUCGAUUCCCUGUGGGUCGUUUCAUCACCAAAAAAUGGAUUUGUAUUUCCAACAGUUCCUAAUGUCUCAGGGUUUCAGUGGUCCCUAUGUCCGACCUAUCUGUACUCAGCUAUCUCCGCACCCACCUUCAGCUCGUGAUAUCGGGUGGCUCCAAGCAGUAUAACUCGCCGUAUCUCUUCAGCCCUCUGAGAUGUCCUGGAAUCAGAAUGAGCGCCUCCCCGCUAGUGCUACUCGGACAGCUGAAAGGGGCAUCCAUCCGCUCUGGGAAUGGGACGCUGUCUCCCAAGGGAGCCCAAGUAAGGCGUAUCUGGAUGCCCAGGAGCGGGGCGCAGAGGCUGGGAGAGCCGGGGGGCUCCAGGAGAGAACCGCGAGCUCCCGGGAGAGAGUUGGACGCCGGGCUUGUAAGGGUAGUGGACCGGCUGGGUCAUCCACCCCGAGAAGCGAAACCUGGGUAGUCCCUUCACGACAGGGCGCCUGGUAAGGGGGCAGGACUUUUCAUUAUCGUUUUAUCAAAAUAUACAGAGCAAUACAUACUUAUUCGCAAAAUGUUCAUAAAAUGUACGGAAAUGUGUGGCAGAAAUGACAGACGACCAGGAACCCUGACCUCUCAGUGGUGACUCUGGCCUCGCUGGUUGGUGCACGUCCUUAGAAACUCAUAUCAGCGAGCGCGCUCACACUCCAGGUAAUUUUAUCUCAGCAAAAAUAGGGUCACCGCCUACAUAUUACUUUGUGACAUGGUUUUAUGUAACUUAAAAGUCGCUCAAGGACAUCUUUCCAACUUCACGACGUGGAGGAAUGCGAUUGCAGUGUACCCACAAGCUGGGUUUUCUGGUCCAUUUAAGCCGCAGUUCGAAUACUGAGUAAGACCAAACCCAAAUAUCGCCACUGCGUCCACUGCCGCCUGGGUCCCGGUCGCACCGGAGUCCCAGGAUUGAGUGCCUAAUCCCCUUGCCUGGGCUCCUCGUCCCCUCACUCCCCGCUCUCUCCACGUUCGUCGGGUAUUGCGCCUGAGCGGCCUCCUGCACUGGGCAAACCCGAGGCCAGAGCUAUACGAACGUUCUUCCCCUCUCUCGUCUUGGACCAACUCUUCCGCAAAGGGCUUUAACUGCACUGGGUUACUUAGGAGUAAAACAAUAGUGCCUUGGAUUCCCUGUUGUAUAAUUCACAUAAUCAGAGCUGUAUCAAAGAUUUAUUUUUGUGCCACCAGCAGAAAAAAUCCCCACGCAGAUGGAUGUAAAAACAGCUUGGGAGGAAGAUGAUGGUUAACCUACUCCAAGGAGUCAAGCACUAAUUUUUCCAUUCCUACUUUCCGUGAUCUUGCUUAGCCCUGUGCGCCUGGGACACUGCUGACCUAUCCACUCCGUCCCCUUGCCCGCCCUCUUCAGAACCUGGGUUCCGGGUCUGGCACCUUGUCCUCCCAAGGCCUCCUCCUAUCUCUCCACUCGCCCCUCCCGGUCUCUGUUCCGUCAAACCUUCUCUAAAGUGCGGUACUUGACCCUCGGCUUUUUCCGUAGUGAACAUGCCCGGAUGAACACGCCCACCCCCGCCAAGUGUCCGCCCCACCGGCGAUAGCCCUCCCUCCCCAAAAGGCUGUUACCCGCACUUCCAACACCGGCUGGACAGGGGCGUGCUCCUGGGAACCCCCCUCCCGACGCCUCACCUGGACCUGGCCCGCUCGGCCAGGUGACCCGCAGAUGUGCGCAGUCUCCCUUCUUUGGGCCCCUUCCAGACUCGCAGAAAAUCCUCCCUGACACCCUUCGGCCCCGGGCGCCGUCUGCUCGCCGGAUCCUGACAUGGGCAUCUGCCAGUGCGGCUGUCAUGCUCAGACUCUGAGCGCCCUGAGCGCUAGGCCUGAGACUCACUCAUCAGUUUGCAUAACUACUGUUAGGGUACCGCGUGUCAACUAACCCCUUUCCCCUUCCCACAAACACACACGCAUCCUCGAUGUCCACUGUUUUAGUUGGGAGGGAGGCUUCUACAGUGAGGUCUUACCUUCCCGUGGGACAGGCGCUUUGGAGUCGACGAGUCCCAGCACCCCAGGGCGCGUGAGUACCCGAAAGUGCCCACGAAUGAGUCCGUGUGGGUCUGGACGCAAAGUCUAGGCUCUUUGGAAGGUACUUUCUCAGGGUCCACUUUGACUGGAAAGAGGGCUUUUGCGGCCUGGGAGAACGCAGCCAAGCCUGGGCACGCCUCAGACAAGGCUGCUGCGACACGUCCUGCCCCCGAAGGGGUGUCGAGAGGGUCGCCCAAAGGCCUUCAGCGGUCCUGGCCAACCCAACUCUGGCAGCGCCCCGUUUUGUAAACUUGAAUUCCAUUACCAGCAUAAAUAAAUAAAGUUAGAUGGUCAAAGAUGGUCAGCAUAUAUUAAACCAGUUCCGCCGAGUAGAUUCAGACUCAUGGCGACUCCAUGUGUGUCAGAGUAGAACUGUGCUCCAUUGGGUUUUCAAUUUUUUGUUUAUUAAACGGAUUAAAAAAAAAAAAGACUGGAAGAGAAAAUAACAAAAUUACAUCCUGGAGGCUCGGGUGUCGCGAAUCUAGACAUUUGUUUGCACUUUUCUUCAUAAUGCCACAGAGAAGAGAAGCAGGUGCUCACGAGGGAGGCCAAGCAGAGGCGGGACAGACCUAACUAACGCUGAGGGCGCGCGGGAGGAGGCGAAGACAAACCCUGGGAGGGAGAGGAGCGAGCCGAGGGACAGGGCCGAAAGGUCGCGUUAACACCGUGGUCUCCAUCCCGGGAGACAGGGAGGGGUCACACGCAGCGAAAGAGAAAGGAUGAGAUCCGAGGCGAGCGCCUGACCCAAGGGGAGCGACAGGAGAGAAAACCGAAAGGCCAAAGUCUCGCCAUAAACUUGCCGGGAGCGGGCGCAGAUAAAAGCGAGCGAGGGGCCUUGGCGAAGACGCAUGUGGCCAGCGGAGCCUGUGAUCCAAAAAGGAAAAACGCAGAGUCGGGCUUUUUGGACAUUAAAGCGACAGUAGGGAGGGACCUUGGGGCGGCCUGCACAUGAGGGGAAAAAAGAAAUUGUUCCUCCAGGGUCGGGCGGUCCAGAAUGGAGGAAAUUCAUUUUCCUUCACGAAUCUCCCUUCAGAAGAGAAGGGUGAAAAAUACGGGGAAAAAAAGAAAAGUGCAGGCCCCAGCGAGAUUUGAACUCGCGACCCCUGGUUUACAAGACCAGUGCUCUAACCCCUGAGCUAUGGAGCCAGCCACAAUUCGGAGGCUCGCGCUUGAGUUGUUGACGCUGUCAUCGUUGCUGCGCAGCUGCAGACUGCGCAAUCGCAGAUCGUAGGAUCAAGGCGUUCGGUGACAAAAGGUGGAGCUAGCGUUCUUCUGCCUCUGGAGUCCGGUCCGGCUGCCAUCACCACGUAGGCCUGGCGGCAAAUCCUGGGAGCAAGCCGGGCGGAGAGAGAACCUGCGUUGCGUGUCUGCGGGGUAUCCUUCUGGCACCUAAGCCCAAUGCUCAAUCAAUCCUCUACCCUCUGCCUCCCAGGAGAGAAGCAAGCAUAGAGACAUGGGGACCUCAUACCACCAAGAAAGCAGUGCUGGGAGUAGAGUGCAUCCUUUGGACCUGAGGUUCCUGUGCUGAGAUGCUCCCAGGCCAAGAGAAGACUGAUGACAAGGACCUUCCUCCAGAGCCUUUCCCUGGAGCCAUUUGCCCUGAAUUCGGACUUCUAGCCUACUGGACUAUGAGAAAAUAAACUUCUCUUUGUUAAAGCCAUCCACUCGCGGUAUUUCUGUUAUAGCAGCACUAGAUGGCUGUCAUGGAUUGAAUUAUGUCCCCCCAAAAAACGUGUGUAUCAGUUGGGCUAGGCCAUGAUUCUGGGUAUUCCGUGAUUUUCCUAUAUGUUGUAAAUCCUGCCUCUGUGAUGUUAAUGAGGGAGGAUGGGCGGUGGUUGUAUUAGUGAGGCAGGACUCAACCUACAGGAUUAGAUUGUGUCUUGAGGCAAUCUCUUGAGAUAUAAAAGAUAGAAGCAAGCAGAGAGACAGGGGGACCUCAUACCACCAAGAAAGCAGCACCAAGAGCAGAGCGCAUCCUUUGGACACAGGGUCCCUGCACCUGAGAAGCUCGUCGACCAGGAGAAGAUUGAGGACAAAGACUUUCUUUCAGAGCCAACAGAGAUAGAAAUUCUUCCCCUAGACCCAACGCCCUGAAUUUGGACUUGUAACCUACUAGACUAUGAGAAAUAAAUUUCUCUUUGUUAAAGCCAUCCACUUGUGGUAUUUCUGUUAUAGCAGCACUAGAUAACUAAGGCAAUGGCUAAGACAGUUGGUUUAGAUUCUACCCAUGUAAAUGCUGACUUAGCUCAGUCAUCAGCAUGAAGACUAUGUGCCCACCCGUUUCCUCAGGGUUUCAUCCCACUUACUGCACAGCUCUGCAGGAAUAAGAACAAUCAUUGCCCUUCCUGUCUUCAGUCUCCCCGUUUCUCCUGACCUGUGCACACAAACUCCCAUUCCCAGAAGCUGUCCCCAUCUGUCUGGGAGUGGGGACAGUGGGGAGAGGCUCAUCCAGGUGGCCAACAAGCCCACCCAAAUCUAAGUAUCCCAAGGUGCAGAGCACUCCUGCUCCUGACCAACCCACAGCUUACAGGCCCACAGGCCUCACUGCUGCCUGAGGGAGUCAGAAGCGCUGAGGCAGGCACGGAUUUCGGGGAGAAGGGGAAAGAAGACCAGCAGGGUUGUGAGGCAGGGCUGAAAGAAAGAACCAACUGUGUGCAAAGCCCAGAGACAGUCACUGCGGGGUGCAGAUUCUCUACUUUGCCACUUAAUCAGUACUCAAUUCCACAACAACCAUCCAUACCUUUCUCCUCUUUUUCCAGCUCAUCCCGAAGAUCCUCUGAGAAGGAGAAACAAAGGGAGUUCGUGAAUGACAUCUGUGUGUGUUUGGCAAUGACACCACCUUCCCAAUAUUUAUAACCCAACUGACUCACUCAUUCCCUAAAUACCCCCGAUUAGCCACCCCACCUCUCAACACCAGCCUAACCUUGACAUACUCUAGCUACCACUUUGUCACAGCUUCUGGAAAGUCACACCCUUGGGAUCCCUGAACUACCAAAAGCACACCACCACCACCACCUAUACCACAUGGCCCACCCCACACCCAAGCCCCUACCUUUGAACUUCUUGAGCAGCCCCUUUAAGACAAAGGUCUUGAGGGAAACAUUCCAGACUUUAUUCUUCAUCUCAGAAGAGACUGUGGUCGGCUUGGGGCCGGGCACAUUGUUGCACCUGCAGGACAGGGAUCCUAAGGAAGGCCCCUAUACACCAUCCCACCCCCACUGGGCCCUGACAAAUACAUUGGCAAGGUCUUAUCGGGAAGGGGUAGAAAAGGGAAAGGCCAGCCUGGUAUUGGAAUACCCAUGGCCAGGUAGGCAGAUAUUUGCCUCAGAACAUACCCAGGUAAGACAGCUGGGGAUGUGGGGGAGGUGGCCAGAGGGCAGGGGUGGGGAAUGAAGAGAGAGUUCAGUGGAAAAGGAGAAGGGACAGCUUAGAGAGGCCCCAGAAGCUGUUAGGUUCACUCACUUGCUUAGUGUGUUUUUGAACUCCUAAAAGAAAAGAUAGAAGAAAAACCAAGUCAGCACUGUGUAACUUCCAUUCACCUUUAAGAAAACAAAACGAGCCCCUGGGCCUGUGUCCAAGAAAAAUAAACAAUAAGCAGGUAUACCCUGCUCCAUAGCCUGCAUGGGUCCCUGGUGGCAACAGCUUCCCGCUGUGGCUAGCUUCUGGGUGUCUCAUAAACUCAGUGAGCCCCUCACCCCUGCCCACACCUCUGUAAAUGUUCUCUUUAUUACGAAAUCUUCACCAGAGCAUCUGCUCUUGGAACCAAAAAA